AUUUCUUCGGAAUGAAUUUGAUUUAGUUUAGUGGCGGACGGGUGAGUAACGCGUGAGUAACCUGCCUUCAAGAGGGGGAUAACAUUCUGAAAAGAAUGCUAAUACCGCAUGAUAUAUCGGAACCACAUGGUUCUGAUAUCAAAGAUUUUAUCGCUUGAAGAUGGACUCGCGUCCGAUUAGUUAGUUGGUGAGGUAACGGCUCACCAAGACCGCGAUCGGUAGCCGGGCUGAGAGGCUCUUCGGCCACAUUGGGACUGAGAUACGGCCCAGACUCC
rnacentral:rRNA from 1 species